GCCCAGGUGGCGAAAUUGGUAGACGCAGGGGACUCAAAAUCCCCCGCCGCAGGGUGUGUCGGUUCGAGUCCGACCCUGGGCACCA
rnacentral:tRNA from 1 species